GACAGCAGUCGCCACGGUAAAACGGAGGGUGCAAGCGUUAUCCGGAUUUAUUGGGUUUAAAGGGUCCGUAGGCGGACUUAUAAGUCAGUGGUGAAAGCCUGUCGCUUAACGAUAGAACUGCCAUUGAUACUGUAAGUCUUGAGUAUAUUUGAGGUAGCUGGAAUAAGUAGUGUAGCGGUGAAAUGCAUAGAUAUUACUUAGAACACCAAUUGCGAAGGCAGGUUACCAAGAUAUAACUGACGCUGAGGGACGAAAGCGUGGGUAGCGAACAGGAUUAGAUACCCCGGUAGUUCCUGUCUCUUAUAC
rnacentral:rRNA from 1 species